rnacentral:rRNA from 1 species
UACGUAGGGUGCGAGCGUUGUCCGGAUUCACUGGGUUUAAAGGGUGCGUAGGUGGGCAGGUAAGUCAGUGGUGAAAUCUCCGGGCUUAACUCGGAAACUGCCAUUGAUACUAUCUUUCUUGAAUACCGUGGAGGUCAGCGGAAUAUGUCAUGUAGCGGUGAAAUGCUUAGAUAUGACAUAGAACACCAAUUGCGAAGGCAGCUGGCUACACGAAUAUUGACACUGAUGCACGAAAGCGUGGGGAUCAAACAGG